rnacentral:rRNA from 1 species
AGAGUUUGAUCCUGGCUCAGGAUGAACGCUAGCUACAGGCUUAACACAUGCAAGUCGAGGGGAAACGACAUCGAAAGCUUGCUUUUGAUGGGCGUCGACCGGCGCACGGGUGAGUAACGCGUAUCCAACCUGCCCACCACUUGGGGAUAACCUUGCGAAAGUAAGACUAAUACCCAAUGACGUCUCUAGAAGACAUCUGAAGGAGAUUAAAGAUUUAUCGGUGAUGGAUGGGGAUGCGUCUGAUUAGCUUGUUGGCGGGGUAACGGCCCACCAAGGCGACGAUCAGUAGGGGUUCUGAGAGGAAGGUCCCCCACAUUGGAACUGAGACACGGUCCAAACUCCUACGGGAGGCAGCAGUGAGGAAUAUUGGUCAAUGGGCGAGAGCCUGAACCAGCCAAGUAGCGUGCAGGAUGACGGCCCUAUGGGCUGUAAACUGCUUUUAUAAGGGAAUAAAGUGAGUCUCGUGAGACUUUUUGCAUGUACCUUAUGAAUAAGGACCGGCUAAUUCCGUGCCAGCAGCCGCGGUAAUACGGAAGGUCCGGGCGUUAUCCGGAUUUAUUGGGUUUAAAGGGAGCGUAGGCCGGAGAUUAAGCGUGUUGUGAAAUGUAGACGCUCAACGUCUGCACUGCAGCGCGAACUGGUUUCCUUGAGUACGCACAAAGUGGGCGGAAUUCGUGGUGUAGCGGUGAAAUGCUUAGAUAUCACGAAGAACUCCGAUUGCGAAGGCAGCUCACUGGAGCGCAACUGACGCUGAAGCUCGAAAGUGCGGGUAUCGAACAGGAUUAGAUACCCUGGUAGUCCGCACGGUAAACGAUGGAUGCCCGCUGUUGGUCUGAAUAGGUCAGCGGCCAAGCGAAAGCAUUAAGCAUCCCACCUGGGGAGUACGCCGGCAACGGUGAAACUCGAGUUCAUUGACGG